rnacentral:rRNA from 1 species
GACGUAGGGCGCGAGCGUUGUCCGGAUUUAUUGGGCGUAAAGAGCUCGUAGGCGGCUCGUUGCGUCGGCUGUGAAAACCCGCAGCUCAACUGUGGGCUUGCAGCUGAUACGGGCGGACUGGAGGCCAGUAGGGGGAUGCGGAAUUCCGGGUGUAGUGGUGGAAUGCGUAGAGAUCCGGAGGAACACCAGCGGCGAAGGCGGCAUCCUGGACUGGUCCUGACACUCAGGAGCGAAAGCGUGGGGAGCGAUCCGG